AGCCCUGCCACCUACCUUUCAGAAAAUACAGGCUGGCUGGCAAGGUGGCUAAUCUGGGAGUUUGUGCCUAGGAAAAUGUGGCUCCCUCGGCCAUUCAAAGCCAAGUUGGAUGAUGUAAGCAAGCAGGACUGAAAAGGAAAGCGAAAUCUUGUCAGCUGCAUUAUUUCCAGGAGCUGGGCUGAGGCUAAGCCGAGGGGCUGGUCCUGCUGCCUGUGCAGAGCCCAGCUCCCUGCACCACCACUGCCUCCCCAGCACAGAGAAUGAGCAUCUGAAGCAAAACUGUGUGAGGACGGGGUAACUGAGAGGGAAUGUCCCUUCCCUGCCAUUUGCCCACAGUUGAUGAAACAGAAAACAUGCAACAUUCAUGGCACUUCAAAGAAAGGAAGAAAAACUAAUUUCUGACUCUACUCCUCUUCUGCCUCAACAAAGCUACUGAUCAGGCACCAAGGACUACCAAGGAAACAUCCUCCCAGGCAGUUACAUCACCCAAAAGUCCCCUACAGUAGCCAGCAGCACAGGAAGCCACUACAAGCAGGUGUGGGUGGAUCAACAGGGAGCUCCUGCGGUGGCAAAUAGGAGGCAGGAUGGAACAUGGAUGGCACGGCUCUUCUCCCUCUUCAGCAGGCUAGUUGGGGUAAGUUCCUUCCUGCAACCCUACCAAAUGACCAAUGAUAAGCCAACACCCUGCUUUUCC
rnacentral:lncRNA from 1 species